rnacentral:tRNA from 1 species
GGGGACUUAGCUCAGUGGUAGAGCAUUUACCUAGGAAGCACAAGGCCCUGGGUUCGGUCCCCAGCUCCG